UACGAAGGGGGCUAGCGUUGCUCGGAAUUACUGGGCGUAAAGAGUGUGUAGGCGGUGCUCUAAGUUCGGUGUGAAAUCUUCCGGCUUAACUGGGAGGGUGCGCCGGAAACUGGAGUGCUCGAGCGUGGGAGAGGAAAGCGGAAUUCCUGGUGUAGCGGUGAAAUGCGUAGAUAUCAGGAGGAACACCUGCGGUGUAGACGGCUUUCUGGACCAUUGCUGACGCUGAGACACGAAAGCGUGGGUAGCAAACAGG
rnacentral:rRNA from 1 species